GUCUAUGGCCAUGCUACCCUGAACAAGCUGGAUUCCGUCUGAUCCUGGAAGCUAAGCAGGGUCGGGUCUGGUUAGGACUUGGAUGGGAGACCACCUAGGAAGACGAGGUGCUGUAGGCA
rfam:Pteropus alecto contig84438, whole genome shotgun sequence.